UAGGGAAUCUUCCGCAAUGGACGCAAGUCUGACGGAGCAACGCCGCGUGAGUGAAGAAGGAUUUCGGUUCGUAAAACUCUGUUGUUAGAGAAGAACAGCGCAUAGAGUAACUGUUAUGCGUGUGACGGUAUCUAACCAGAAAGCCACGGCUAACUACGUGCCAGCAGCCGCGGUAAUACGUAGGUGGCAAGCGUUGUCCGGAUUUAUUGGGCGUAAAGCGAGCGCAGGCGGUCAAUUAAGUCUGAUGUGAAAGCCCCCGGCUCAACCGGGGAGGGUCAUUUGAAGCUGGUUGACUUGAGUGCAGAAGAGGAGAGUGGAAUUCCGUGUGUAGCGGUGAAAUGCGUAGAUAUAUGGAGGAAAACCAGUGGCGAAGGCGACUAUCUGGUCUGUAACUGACGCUGAGGCUCGAAAGCGUGGGUAGCAAACAGG
rnacentral:rRNA from 1 species